GGGAGCGUUCCGCCUUAG
rnacentral:siRNA from 1 species